UACAGCCAUACACUUCAAUUAAAAAUGAAAUACUUAGUUAUUUUUGUUCUCUGCUUCAUCGCUUUGGCGGCUGCCAAUCCCCAGUUGCUGACAUGGCCGGGUAUUGUCGCACCCCUCGCUCCUAGGACUGUCGUUGCGGGACCAACUGUAGUGAAUGGACUCUUCGGCGAUCGUGUUGUGUCUCCUGGCGUUAUCACUACC